rnacentral:rRNA from 1 species
CCUACGGGAGGCAGCAGUGGGGAAUAUUGCACAAUGGGCGAAAGCCUGAUGCAGCCAUGCCGCGUGUGUGAAGAAGGCCUUCGGGUUGUAAAGCACUUUCAGUUGUGAGGAAAGGGAUGUAGUUAAUAGCUGCAUUCUGUGACGUUAACAACAGAAGAAGCACCGGCUAACUUCGUGCCAGCAGCCGCGGUAAU